AAAAAAAAGGAAAGAAAAAAAAAGAAGAAGAAGAAACAAAAUGAAUGCACAAAAGAAGAGGAGACUAGGAACAGUUGUUUUAUUUUUUGCUUUGCCUGUUUCAUUUC
rnacentral:ribozyme from 1 species